rnacentral:rRNA from 1 species
AUGGCACAAUUGAUGCUCAUGUCCGGCGUCAACGGCAUGGCCUCUGGUAGGAGCCUGCUGCAGGCCGCCCGACCGUCGUCGGCGUCCACGCCCUUCUCGCAGCUCUCGCUCUUGUCGUCCUCAGCGGCGUACUACAAGCACAUGUCUUCCCUCUCCGUCCGGACCAUGGCCCUGUUCAGCAAGUCCAAGACAAGGCGACGCCGGCCAAGAAUGUGA